UGUGAGCUGUCAUGAGUGAACGGGAAUCUGACUGUUCCUUUCUUAUCCUACCAGAACGCUGUCAAACUGGGCGUAUGAAUUUGACAAGUGGGCCCCCUCCGUGGUGAAGGUGUCCUACAAGGGCUCUCCAGCAGCGAGACGGGCUUUCGUGCCCCAGCUUCGCAGUGGGAAGUUCAACGUUCUGCUAACCACCUACGAGUACAUCAUUAAAGACAAGCACAUCCUUGCCAAGAUCCGCUGGAAGUACAUGAUCGUGGAUGAAGGCCACCGCAUGAAGAACCACCACUGCAAGCUGACACAGGUCCUCAACACACACUACGUUGCCCCGCGCCGCCUGCUGCUAACAGGCACGCCACUGCAGAACAAGCUGCCUGAGCUCUGGGCGCUGCUCAACUUCCUGCUGCCCACCAUCUUCAAAAGCUGCAGCACCUUCGAGCAGUGGUUCAAUGCACCCUUUGCCAUGACCGGAGAGA